rnacentral:lncRNA from 1 species
CUUUAAGUUGUGUGGUCUGGGUGAGCCCAGCAGUAAAAGUUGCUGGUUUGGGCCAAAAACAAGGCACGGGGCAAGCCCAGCCUAAAACUAGCUUGCAGGUUGGUGAGGAAAGGCCCAACCAAGGCUAUCUCCUUAGUUUUUGGGUCAGGGCAAGUCAAACCCAACAGCAUAAGAUGUGGGCAAGUGGGCUGAGACUUUAACAAAGCCCAGCAAGUGAUACGGGCUUGUUGUAGGCGAGCCUGGGGCACGGGG